rnacentral:rRNA from 1 species
CACGUAGGGGGCGAGCGUUGUCCGGAUUUAUUGGGCGUAAAGAGCUCGUAGGCGGCUCGGUAAGUCGGGUGUGAAAACUCGGGGCUCAACCCCGAGACGCCACUCGAUACUGCCAUGGCUAGAGUCCGGUAGGGGAGCGUGGAAUUCCUGGUGUAGCGGUGAAAUGCGCAGAUAUCAGGAGGAACACCGGUGGCGAAGGCGGGUCUCUGGGCCGAUACUGACGCUGAGGAGCGAAAGCGUGGGGAGCAAACAGG